CUAGCGACUUCAGAGUUUGAUCCUGGCUCAGGACGAACGCUGGCGGCGUGCUUAACACAUGCAAGUCGAACGAGAAUCGGUAGAUAGAGGCUUCGGCCAAUUGAAAUCGAGGACAGUGGCGGACGGGUGAGUAACGCGUGAGGAACCUGCCUUUCAGAGGGGGACAACAGUUGGAAACGACUGCUAAUACCGCAUAAUGCAUAGGGGUCGCAUGGCUCUUAUGCCAAAGAUUUAUCGCUGAAAGAUGGCCUCGCGUCUGAUUAGCUAGUUGGUGAGGUAACGGCUCACCAAGGCGACGAUCAGUAGCCGGACUGAGAGGUUGAACGGCCACAUUGGGACUGAGAUACGGCCCAG
rnacentral:rRNA from 1 species